rnacentral:rRNA from 1 species
AUAUCAAUAAGCGGAGGAAAAGAAACCAACAGGGAUUACCUCAGUAACGGCGAGUGAAGCGGUAACAGCUCAAAUUUGAAAUCUGGCCUCACGGUCCGAGUUGUAAUUUGUAGAGGAUGCUUCGAGCAUGGUCUGGCCUAAGUUCCUUGGAACAGGACGUCAUAGAGGGUGAGAAUCCCGUAUGCGGCCAGGUGCCUACGCUCAUGUGAAGCUCCUUCGACGAGUCGAGUUGUUUGGGAAUGCAGCUCAAAAUGGGUGGUAAAUUUCAUCUAAAGCUAAAUAUUGGCCAGAGACCGAUAGCGCACAAGUAGAGUGAUCGAAAGAUGAAAAGCACUUUGGAAAGAGAGUUAAACAGUACGUGAAAUUGUUGAAAGGGAAGCGCUUGCAACCAGACUUGCGCGCGGCCGAUCAUCCGGUGUUCUCACCGGUGCACUCGGCCGUGCUCAGGCCAGCAUCGGUUUUGGCGGCUGGAUAAAGGCCCUAGGAAUGUAGCUCCUCUCGGGGAGUGUUAUAGCCUAGGGUGCAAUGCAGCCUGCUGGGACCGAGGACCGCGCUUCGGCUAGGAUGCUGGCGUAAUGGUUGUAAGCGG